AAGAAAAGGAGGAGGAAGAGGAAGAGGAGGAAGAAAAGAAAGAAGAAAAGGAGAAGAAGAUAGAGGAAGAAGAGAAGUAGGAGGAAGAAAAUAAGGAUGGAAUGUAUUCAGAGGAUGAAGACGAAGACGAGGAGGAAAUGAAGUCAGAAUAUGAGGAGAAAUCAGAGGAUUCAGAGAAGCAGGAGGAGCAAACUGAUGAUGGCAUAGAUUCAGAGAAUGAAGAUGAGGAGAAAGUCAGGAUUUUCUUUAAAAAAAGUGGUUAUAUUGUAGAAGUGCUACAAAAUCAGAGAUGCAUAAAACCUAGGACAAGAGUUGAGCACAAAAUUUAUCUAACAAAAUUCUGUUCAAAGAGCAGAGGUGUUGCCAUUCUUGUGAAUAAGCAGCAUAUAUGUCUACAAGCAUUUUGUGAGGGAGGAGACUAUGCUUGGGUUUAUGUUGAGAUUGACAAUAAGAGGUACACAUUUGUGAGUGCUUAUUACCAUCACAAAGAAAAAUCCAAUCUCAUGUUGAGGAUUCUCUGCAGCUUCCUAACACAGGAACCAACAGCUUGUGAAUGGCCUGUCAUUGGUGGAGACUUUAACACAACACUUAAUUACAAAUUGGACAAAGGUAGCACAAAAGAUAACGCAAAGCACAAAUCACGGAGAAAGAACAUCCUGGAAAUCAUGGAAACAAUGAAGCUAAAAGAUGUCUGGAGAGAGAAACAUCCAAAUGAAAAGGUCUACACAUUUUCAUGUAAAAAGCCUGUGUCCAGAUUAGACUAUGUGUUCAUGUUUCAGAAACAUAUGCCUUGUGUGCAAAAUUGUGAUAUAUGGCUGGAUAAAGACAUGGUUCCAAAACUUUCUGACCACUACUCUGUGAGGCUCACUUUGACUAUAAAAAACUAGGAAGAGUUUUUGGAGACCAUAUAUCAGAUAAUUAUUCUAGAACAUUUAUUCAACUUAUAUGAAAUGCCGAAAUACUGUGCAAACUGUUUUUAGGAAUGAUUAUAUACAUUAUAUGUAACCAAC
ensembl:lncRNA